rnacentral:misc_RNA from 1 species
UUUCCGUAGGUGAACCUGCGGAAGGGAUCAUUACAGAGUUGCAAAACUCCCAAACCAUUGUGAACGUUACCUAUCCCGUUGCUUCGGCGGGCGGCCCGGGCCCCGCGCCCGGCGCCCCCCGGCCCCCCGUGGGCGCCCGCCGGAGGUAAACCAAACCCUUGAAUUGCAUGGCCUCUCUGAGUCUUCUGUACUGAAUAAGUUAAAACUUUUAACAACGGAUCUCUUGGCUCUA